AAGCAGUAGGAACACUCCAUGAAAGCAGCUUUGGAGAAGGCAGCUCUGUGUGAAAGCAGCUCUGUGUGAAAGCAAGCAUAGAAGAGUUGAGACACAAAAUGAUUAGAAUCAGGAGGCUGGUACACCGAAGGUGUUCAGAACCAAAAAGAUACGGAUACUGUUGUAAAUGAAAUGAAACAAACAUUGUCUAUAUCAAACAAACAGUUGCAAAGAUCCUUCAGAGGUUGGAGGGAAUCGGUGAAAUCGGGCAGUCAUCACCUUGCAACAAUAUGGUAGUGAAAGUCGGCCAUCAAGUCACUGGAUUGGUUUCAAGGAUGACGAUGUUGCAGUCAAAGCAGUGAUGGAAAGUCAGAAUGAAGCAACAGUUGCAAAAUUUGGCUGCAUGGAUGUGGCAGACAAAAGUUGGCAGAGGAUCUUAUCAGAAAACAGUGACAUUUACUGGUAGCAAAAUUGGAUGCAGAUGAUGUUGCCGAUCAUUUAUACCAAUGAGAGAUAAUAUCAUCUGGUGAGAUGGGAAAUAUUAAUAACACUGAUGAUCUUGGGAAAAACAGGACAACUUUACUGAAAUUGAUUAGGAAACGUCAGUGGGUUGAAGGAGUAUAAUUUGCAAAUAUAUUUUCAGUUAGUGAAGUCAAUUGUGAAGUCGGGUGGGUGGGUUAAAUUGCUUGUUUGUCCAUGAAUUUAAUUUAUAGCAUGUCUGUCUAGUGGCUUCUUUAUCUUUCUUCACAGCCUCUCAUGUGCACAAGACGAGCGGAGAGUGAUGAUAUUGUAUCUCUUUGCUCUUUGUGUGCAAAGUGGAGGGCUGUGAAAAAAGUGGGGCUUGCAUAUUGUUAGUUGAGCGUUUGCAUUUGUAGGUUAGGAAAUGGUUGGAAGUCCAGAAUCUGUUGAUGACUCGUUACUACUGUCUGACCUGCACAGUGUGGUUCAGUCAACUGUCGGCAGUAACAACAAUUCAAACCGAUAGUGGACAUGAUUAGGGAGAUACUUGAUUGUUUGAUCGACAAGCAUGAGUCUUAGCCUGGUUAUUGAUAUCAAUUAGUGUAGAAAAUGUUAGGUUGACAAUGUAUUUGUUGUUACAGAAUAGUAAAUUUUAUAGAUUAGUGCAAACACUGUGGCUUGUUUGCAGUCACUGGUAACUGAUUUUUAUUGUUUUUAUAGACAAGUCGAUCUCAUUUAUUUGUAUGUUUUAGAAUUUGUCGUGCAGAUUGGUUAUUAUGUGUGCAUGAGUUAGUCAUCAGAGUCAUGUCUUCUUAUGAUGAAAGAUAAGCAGACGAUAUUCACAUGGAGAGCAACUGCAUGUGGCAGUGCAGUAACAGCUACAGUAAAUAAAUGGACAGACAAACAUACAUACAGACGAGUAGACAGACAGACAGAUGGGUUGACAAACAAACAGACAGACAGACAGACAGA